GGCUCUCAAUAUUCUUGGAACUGUAAUGCCGACUUUUUGGUCGAAUUGGCACGAGAACGUAAUUCUGUGGCUUAGAUUAGGGGAAAGUUUAAUCGUCCCUCUGCUCUUUUAUCUGACGGAUUCCCCUCAUCGUGCAGCUUUGAGGCGUGCGUUCCAACGAAGAAGUGGCAAGUUCUCAGACUUUGGAGGUAUCUUUCUAAAUGGUGACAACGGCCGCUAUCGAAUGUAUAUAGAAGACGCCUUAGAAGGACAGAUGAAGCCUAGUCCGUUUGGAUCCGUCACCCCUAUUGGAAUCAUCACAAACUAUCGGAGAAAAGAAAAACGUGAGCAGAAACAUUCACAGAAAAGAAACUGUUCGAACACAGGAUCAAAGCGAUAUAUAUUAACCAGUAUCUACGGGAUCGACACCAUAUUGAACCCCAGCCAUUUUAAAAACAAUUUGAAGACAGUGGUACAAACCAAACCUCAGCCAGAGAAGCAUGAUGCCUGUUCUAUAACGAAACAUGGAAACAUGCAGAUGGACAUAGGUACAUGGAGAGAUGAUGAAACCCAUAUUUAUGCUAGUCUAUCUGACAGCUUUAGCAAUCUAAGUUACCAAUCAAGUUUACCUGACGGAAGUGUCUUUGGCCUCAGUUUUACAGAAGCUGAGGAACAAACUUAUGAUGGUUCUUUCACGACAAUUGCCAACGACGAUUUUGAGUUUCAUGAUACACGCCUUGGAGUCAUCGAUCUAUUGAUGCAUGCAAAUGACACCAAUUUUAAACCUGAAUCUGUGCCAAAACUUUCAGAAUCAGCGUUAGAAGAAGAAACCUACAAAUCUCUUGAAAACGAAAUUCAACUGAGUGAAAAUAACAAUUCGUUGGAAACGGUUCAAGACUUGGUGAUUCGCAUUGAUUCUCUUAAUGAUUCUUUUUGUGGGAAAAGUAAUUUUGAGUUUGAAAAUACUUCGGAGAAGACAAGACAUCAACCUAAUGAUACUAUCCCAUUUCACAUGUACCGAGUUAGCACCGAAGAACUGUGUAAGAGUGCUUUACCCCGUUCUGGAAACAGUUGGUUUUCGAUGAAUGAUCUUGACCGUAUUGGUGACAAGAAUGACUGGACAAACUGCGAGUCGGAGGAGGCCAUGUUUGUUGUUCCUGAAAAGAGUGAGUCCAUGGUGUCGCUAUAUGAGGUCCCUAGGACUUGUGAUCAGGCUAAAGCAAAAUCAGUAAGUGAAUCAAAUCUUUUCUGUGAAAAAGAUUCAGCUGAGAUCCACCCCAAAAGUUCUUCACAAGAGGAAAACUUCAGUAGUGAAGGAAGACUUUUGGAGGCUUUAUGGAAAAACAACAGGUCUUCGCUGGUCCUUGGACGAGGUAGCCACGUAAGAAAGGCCAAGAAACGAAAAACAAAAAAUAAACAAAAAUAUGGUGACAGGAGUUCUUCACGGAAGCCUUUAGAAGAAUUAGGGCCUGAUCUAAAUGGUGUAUGCUGCUGGAACAAAGAUCGUCACACAGGUCCUAUGCUAAUUGAAGAAUACAUGCGACCAAUUGAUGCUCUUCACGACUCACCAUCACACGAAGAAAAAAACAUUCAAAACUCCGAAAUGAGUAUAAAUAAUAAGGACAGUUUACAGUUAGCGCCACAAAACACAAUUUCUUUGAAUGAAGUGAUUACGGACAGUAUAAAAUGAAGAAUAUCAAGUAGACUUGUAUUGAAAUGAAUCGAGUCAUGACGUACAGCCAAAACAGCUGAUCAAAUAAGCUUACUAAGCUUAUACAAAUAAGGCUGUUAACUUUCAGUUUCUUUCAGUGAAAGCGAAAAAGUUAAUGUCAAAUGCACACGACUGUAGACGAUUAUUUUUCUCCUUGCUUCCUAUAUUUUCAUACAUAAAGUGUUUAAUACCAGCUGGCGAUUCGGCUACCUCUCCUCACCAAAUAUGUAUUAUUUUGCUAUACAAGACGUCUAUUAAGACAAAUAAUUUGGCAAUUUCGAAAAGUAUAUGAAUCAAUUGUAAGUUAAAACCCAUAUAGUAGUUCUCUCUCAUGUAUCUUAUGAAACUCUUUUGUCCAAACGAGUAACAAUGUUAUUCUAAAACGGUUGUUAUUACGUUUUUGGUAUAUAAAAUAUUUGCAUAAUGGCGUAUGUUUUAUUAAUGCGUUCAUUUUUGAUCUAUGUAAUGUUGUGAAUGUGCUUAAUAUAAGAGUCCACUAACCGUUAAAUUGGUAAUAUCAAUUCUGGAAAUAUGUUUAUCAAGACUUUUUACGUCAAACGUUACUUCACAGCGAGUCAGGUCUGCCUAGGCCUAACUAUGACAGUGCCAGAGACGACUCGGACGUAUCAGAACUGUGAAUUUACAUAAGUUUUUAAAUGUUUUAAGAAUUGGAUACCUGUAACUUGGUAUUCACUGCAAAUGUUGUUGUUUUGAUGUAUAUAAUGAUUCAGCAUUUUAUCAGAUUUCGGAAUAGUUUUAAAGGUAAUGUUGUAAGCAUUAAGCAACUUUCUCGACCUAAGCUCAAACACUGUGGUCUACGAUAUGGAAUAUCUAUAGAAUAUUGUUAACGAUUUGCUUGUGUGAUAAUUUCUUAAGCCUUGUAUAUAUGUUAAGAGAUAUAAUGCUUUGGUAAAAAAAAGAUUUGUGAACAUUUUAGAGUUGUAUAAAAUUGAGGAUUCAUGAGAAUCUUGUAGAACGAUUACUGUUUAAUUCUUACUAACAAAUAUUGACACUUGUCAAUGAAGUUUCUUGAAGAACUGGACAACUCCAUACUGGCAUAUGUAUAUAUUCAAAGAGCGUUAUAGCUGAACACCGUACGAUAUAGUAAACGUAGUCAGUAAUGUUUCUUGUACAUAGUUUUGUAAGCUAUUGUGAAUGUAAGGAUUUGUCAUCGCGUCUCAUUUCCUCUAAAACGCGCUCCGCAUUGGGGCCUUGAGUGCGCUAUAAGACUGACGGCCAAACCCCACAAUUCGGUCAGACAAGAGUAGUUCAAGAGUUGGCAAUGGAUGCUGUUAGCUAGCUACCUUCCCUCUAGUCUAUCAGUUCAAAAUUAAGUAACUUGUGUAACUUUGUGUGAAAUUUCUAAAACAAACGAACUGUUUUAAAGUAGCAUUUCCUGUUGACUUAGAGCCAUUUUAUGUAAAAUAAAGCAUUUAACUGGCUCUGCAGUUUCAAUAAUAUAUGUCAAUAACCGUUAUCAUAACAAGAAUAUUUCUAAGAGCGAUGCUGUUUGGCGGAUGAAAAGAAUAGAUUGGGACAGUUUUCAGAUACUAAGAAAAUUAAUCUAUUAACGUUAUCCUACAGAUGUAAUUUAAUUAUCUGACAAAAAUCCCUUUACCACCUCAAAAGUAUUUAUUCACCUCAUGUAAAUGUAUUUUACUCAACUAAUGAUUGGCAUGAAUUUGUAGUUUUUAAAUAUAUUCCACUUUCAAAUGGACGUAUUGUUGGUACGGGGGUUUCUUUAUGAAAUUUUCUGUUACUGAUUUUGGCAUGGGGUCCUCCAUUAAUAUUGUUUUAUUUUUUAAAACAACAUAUAUAUUUAUGUAGUUAUUUAAAAAUAUAUGAAACAAUGAAUUUUCAACAAAAGCAUUUUGCGUGUAUUGUCUUUGUUGUGCAGUCUCAAGAAUUCAAAGAGAAUGAAACAAUUAAAUAACAACAGCAACAACAAAAAAAAUCAGUUGGAAACUUCAUACCGAAAUAUGUCACGUGACUGUAGAGACUGUCGUCAAGUGGAUAAUCUACUGUAAAUAACAUAAAGUUCAAUUUUUUUUUGUAUUGAUAUAAUCUUUGUGUAUAAAAAGCAAGAUUUUAUCGGCUAUGAAAUAUUAUGUACGCGUUUUAGCUACAAAUACAUAACAGAGCCUUUUCUCGCUAACGAGUUACAUAAUAAUAAGAUUCAUGGCUACCUGAAUUCAUUCUUUGUGAGAACUUAGUAAAGCUUAGUGUGGCUUUAGAUCGUGUAAAAAAAAUAGGCACAAUAGUGUAAUUUUGUAAAUGUUUGUCAUGGUUGAUAA
rnacentral:misc_RNA from 1 species